GCAGCUGUCUGCAGAGCCCCACGCCUGCCACACAGUGAGUCACAGCGCCAGCUCCCACUGCCUGCCUCUAUUUUUAUGUCAGGGCCUGCUCAUAUCUGACUCGUUAACUAAGCCUUCCAGCUGGUGGAGGGGAAUCUGAUGGCAGCGGAUGAGGACGGAGGGAAUAAUUUAUAAGUCUACAUAGGAAUUAUAAAGCAAUCCCUCUCUCUUAUCAGGAGCUCUUCGCCUUUUAAUAACCAGGCGCUUUCAGCUGCUGCUCUACAGGAUUGAGGGGAGUUGCCAGCCCUCUCAGCAGUAAUCAGGGUUCUGAAAAGGAGAACAGCGAGUCAACCAGAACAACCACCUGGGCCUUGGCACCAAAGGGUGGUAGCAGCUGCAGGAGGGGCUCAGGGAAGUUGUGCUAAUAGGCACUUAAAUGUGACACCCACAUAAUAAGGCUCCUGGUGGGGACUGCUGCUAUUGGUGCACAUAGCAGACGAUCAGAGCAAAUGACAGGCACGUGGCGGGGGCUUCCAUUCUGUAGAGGGUUGAUUCAGAUGGGUUGACACCUGCUGCCUUAGGCAGGCGUCCCUUUCCUCCCUCACUGCUCCCUGUGGAUCUCUCCUGAAGCUGCAUGCUGGGUGGAAGAGGAGGAUCUUCCCUGAUAGAGGACAACUGUUCCAUGGUCAAGUGUAUACCACUUGCCUGCUAGAACCUCAGAACAAGCUCAAUCCAGAAGGUGAAUGUUGAAUAUGUGUAUCCUGUUGCCUUCAAAGUGCUCGGAAGAGGGGAAUUCGGAUUUUCUCUUGCUGAGAAGAACUUGGGGACGGAUGCUGGCCCUGCUGUUCUCUUCCCAGCUCCUGACUUGGUGGAGAAGAGGCAUGGGCACAUGUCUGCUCCAUCCUCAGGAAGAAUUCCCACAUUCAGAACAGGAUGUGGAAGAGCCAGGUUCCCAGGGUCUGCCUGCACAACUAAGCAGAGUCCCAGCCAUGGCACAGCUCCAAGGGCCUGAGGACCAUGCC
rnacentral:lncRNA from 1 species